AGGUUGUCCGGUGAGGUUGUAGAUGCCCCCACCCUGGAAGCGUUCAAGACCAGGAUGGAACAGGGCUUUGAGCAACAUGGUCUAGAGGGAGGUGUCCCUGCCUAUAACAGAGGAGUUGGAACUGGAUGAUCCUUUCCAACCCAAACCAUUCUAUGAUUCUGACAUGUGAUAAGAACUGGUCAUGAUGUUCGCCUUGAGAUGGCCUAAGUACCGUGAGGCACUAAUGGAUGAAUGGUUGAUUUAUUUAUUUAUUACUUGGCAGUCAUGCAAGGGAGGGCAGGAAAGGGAACCAAGACAAGAGACUGCUCCAUGAUCAUUAUUCUGUUCCUGAAGGCUGGCAUCUGGACAUGGAAGGAACCAGACCACCAAACAAGUCCAUCCUCUGUCCCCCAAGCAGCCCUUGACCCUCUAUGAGAUAGAUAAGUCAGCUCCAAACUGCAAUCCUUCUUGGGCCUGCAGGUCCCUGGAAGCUCAAUAAUUCCUCCCUAUCCCUACCCCAAAAUUAUGUAAGCUUUGCUGAGACAAGGCCUCAAAGAAGGUGCUGACAUCAGCACUAGUGAUUACAGCUGCCAUAGUUACAUGGGGCUUGUGACACAGGAUGUUCCGGAGGGCAAGGGAAAAGGAUGGCAAUUGAGAAUCCUGGUGAGCAGGGCCAUGCAGAGGUGGGCAGGAUUGGGAAGUGAGGUAUAUGGCUACUCCUUGUCGCUUCUCCUGUUUUUUAUAGCUGGACAUCUGGACAAGGAUGGAGCCAGACCACUGAAAAUGUCCUGAGACCUGCCUACACUCUACAGGACAGAAGGAUAGACAAGUCGGCCCCAGACUAGACCUCUUCUGGGUCCUACAGGUCCAUGGAAGCUCCUUCAGAUGCUCCUUUACCUACUCCUACCUUUUCUCUUAGCUCCACGGAAGGUGCAGGCACCAGCACUAGUGAACACACUGGCCAUGCCAGCAUGGGGGUUGGUGAUCAAGGGAGCACCAGGCUACUACAAAGCAGGCUGUCAUAUAAGCAACCUGGUGAGCAGGAAUGUGCAAGGGAGGGCAAGACAGACAAGCAAGUCAGGUGGCUGCUAGUUGUUGCUUCUGUGUCUUUCAGUUGAAUACGUAGACAUGGAUGGAACCAGAUCAUCUCUGUUCCCCAGACACCUGCCAACACUCUACAAAACAGCUAACCUGGUUUGCUGAGACCUGGACCCAAAGAAAGGGCUGGCACUAGCCCUAGAGAUUGCAGUGGCCAAUGUGAGUGUGAGCUGGACAUCCAAAGAAGGAUGGAACCAGACCACUGAAAAUGCCCAAAGAGCUCUCCACACUCUGCAAGAUGGAUAAGUCAGCCUAGAACUGUACUCCCUCUGGGUCCAACAGGACUAUGGGACCUUUCUAGUCUCUCCCCAACCCUAUGCCAAAGUUUUGCGUGGUUUGCUGAGACCAAGCCCCAAAGAAAUGUGUAGGUAGCAGGCUUUGUAAUUUCAGCAGCCAUGCCAGUGCGGGGUUGUUUACGCAGUCUGCCACAAACUGCUACAGAACAGGCUGGCAGACAACAACCUGGUGAGUAGGGCCAUGCAGUGGAAGGAAGCACAGGCAAUCAGGGCAGACAGCUGUUUCUUUGUUGCUUCUCCUGUGUCUAGUAGCUGGACAUCUGGACACCAGUGGAACCAAACACGCUUGUCUUUUCACCCCUUGACAGCUGUCCACAAUCUACAGUCAGCCCCAAACUGGGUCCUACAGGAUCCUGGAAGAUCCCUAAGUUCUCCCUAUCCCUCCUCCAGUAUUUUACAUGGUAUGCUGAGACAAGGGCCAAAAUAAAGGUGCUGCUACCAACCUUGGUGAUUGCACUGGCAAAGUUAAUGUGAAGUUAGUGACAUAGGAAGUUCCAGAUGGCAACAAGAAAUGCAGGGACGCAAGCUAUCUGAUGAGCUGGGUCAUGCAGAGGAGAGAAAGACUGGGAAGGAGAGCAAACAGCUAUUCCUUGUGUUUUUUCCUGUUUUGUUUUUUGUUUUGUUUUGUUUUGUUUUGUUUUGCAGCUGGACAUCUAGACAAGAAUGAAGCCAGACCAUUGAAAAUGCCCUACGCUCUACAUGACAGAUAAGUCAGCCCCAGGCUGUACUCCUUCGGGGUCCUACAGGCCCCUAGAAGCUCCCUAAGAUGCCUCUUCACCUACUCCCAUAUUUUUUCCUGGUUUCCAAGAGCUGACCUCACAGAAGGUGCAAGCACCAGCAGUGAUUGCACUGUGUGGUUGGUUACAAAGGAAAGCUUCAGAUGGCAACAAAAAACUCUGGAAGAUACGCUAUCUGCUGAACAACUGGAUAAGGAUGACACUAGGCCUCUGAAAACAGCCUGAGAACUGUCUUCACUCUACAGGCCUGUUAAAUCAGUCCCAGACUGUACCCCUUCCGGGUCCUACAGAACCUUGGAAUCUCCCUACAAUGCCCCUCUUCCUACCAUCAAUUUUUUGCCUAGUUUAUCAAGACAUACCCACAAGAAAUGGUGGCACCAGCCCUGGUGACUGCAGUCACCAUGUCAGUGCAGGGUUGUUGCCACAGUCAGCCCCAUACUACAGCAAAACGUCCUGACAGACAAGCAGUGUGGUGAGCAGGGCCGUGCAGUAGAGAAGAAGGACACAGAAGCAGAGUAGGUGGCUGCUUCAUUGUUGCUUCUCCUAUGUCUUGCAGCUGGAUAUCUGGACACAGAUAGAACCAGACCACCAAACACAUCUGUCCUCUCACUGCAGAUGUUUGCCAGCAGUCUAAAGGACAGAUAAGUCACCCCCAAACUGUAGUCCUUCUGGGUCCUGCAGGAUCCUGAAAACUCUUUACUGUGCUCCUCCCCCCAUCAUGACAAAGAAGCAGGGUAGGUUAUUUGUUUUUCUCCAUGCUGGACAUUUGGUCUUGACAGGAUCCAGACCAACAAACACUCCUGCCCUCAUCCUCCAGACAGCUUUCAACACUCUACAGGACAGGUAAGGCAGGCAUGCACAGAGAGUUCCCCAUACUCUUGCUGUGUGUAUUCACAGGCCAUGCAUGAUGAGAGCUGACCACAUUCUCAUUGGUGCUCUGCACCUACUCCGAGUACUGGUUGGAUCCCUCUCACAGUGAGCAGGUGGCUGGCCCACACCUGGAUACCAGGGCUAUCACAGAGCUCUGGGAUGGACAGCUCAGGCAUGGAAUUUGGAGAGGCCCAGGUAGGCAGACCAGGACCUGUCUGUGGUGGUGGAAGGGGUCUGGCUGCAUCUCUUGAUUCUUCUGUCCUUCACAGUAACAGCCCAUACAGGGGCGCAGACACAUUACAGGCUCCACUAAACAGCAAGUAUCUGAACUUGUACAAGACACCGUCCUCAGGAUGAGGACACUACACUGCAUUAUGGUCUUACCAGCAGUUGGAGGAUGCAUGCGCCAUGGACACAGGGAGCUCCCCAACACCUGCCAUCUGCAUACCCCAGCACAGACCGACUGGUAGUUGGAAGCUCUCCAUCAACUUGGACAAAGAGCUGCACACCAAUCACCUUAUCUCAUUAACUUACCACAGAAUAAUAAAUAAGCUCUAAACCAUUAAAAGGAAGUUACUAAUU